CUGUUUGGAUAAGAGCUAGCAGAUCGACUCCAUAUUUAUUCUUAUAUUGCUCCUUCAUCUUUUUCUCACCUUUAGGGCAUCAUUAAAGUGCCUAGCAAAGUACUAGUUGCACAAUAUGUGAUCAAUAAAUACGUAACAAAUGAAUGGCUUGGUGACUUUAACUGAAUAACUGAAUGAUUGCAGAGUACAAGCAGCAUCACCAAACAAAGUUUUAGCCAGAAACAUAUGACUUGGCUUCAGGUUCAGAGAACAGAAAAAGAAGCAGAUGAUAUGGUAGACAGACCUUCUGCAGCUCCCCUAUUGGUUGCAUGGCAUAGGAAAGAAAAGGCACCAACUCUCUUGGCUUUUGCUUCAAAAACUCCAAGGAUCAGAAGGAAACCCAGAAGCUCUCCAGUUUAACACGUACUUGAAUAAGAGCUCCAUCUACUAAAUACCUGAUUACAUUACCAACAAUAGGUGGCAUUCAUUCAAUAUUUUAAGAGACGCAAUUUGUCAUAACGAAUGUAGAACUGACCUGGCUCACGUCCUUCUUCUGGCACCUGUUUUAUAACCUGAUUAAAUAAAUUAAGUCUCCAGAACUCUAAUAUUUAUAUU
rnacentral:lncRNA from 1 species